GAUUGAACGCUGGCGGCAGGCCUAACACAUGCAAGUCGAACGGUAACAGGAAGAAGCUUGCUUCUUUGCUGACGAGUGGCGGACGGGUGAGUAAUGUCUGGGAAACUGCCUGAUGGAGGGGGAUAACUACUGGAAACGGUAGCUAAUACCGCAUAACGUCGCAAGACCAAAGAGGGGGACCUUCGGGCCUCUUGCCAUCGGAUGUGCCCAGAUGGGAUUAGCUAGUAGGUGGGGUAACGGCUCACCUAGGCGACGAUCCCUAGCUGGUCUGAGAGGAUGACCAGCCACACUGGAACUGAGACACGGUCCAGACUCCUACGGGAGGCAGCAGUGGGGAAUAUUGCACAAUGGGCGCAAGCCUGAUGCAGCCAUGCCGCGUGUAUGAAGAAGGCCUUCGGGUUGUAAAGUACUUUCAGCGGGGAGGAAGGGAGUAAAGUUAAUACCUUUACUCAUUGACGUUACCCGCAGAAGAAGCACCGGCUAACUCCGUG
rnacentral:rRNA from 1 species